GAGUUUGAUCCUGGCUCAGGAUGAACGCUAGCGGCAGGCCUAACACAUGCAAGUCGAGGGGUAACAGAGAGAAGCUUGCUUUUCUGCUGACGACCGGCGCACGGGUGCGUAACGCGUAUACAAUCUGCCUUAUACAGAGGGAUAGCCUUUAGAAAUGAAGAUUAAUACCUUAUAGUCUAUUUUUAUAGCAUUAUAUAAAUAGUAAAGCUUCGGUGGUAUAAGAUGAGUAUGCGUCCUAUUAGUUAGUUGGUAAGGUAACGGCUUACCAAGACAACGAUAGGUAGGGGCCCUGAGAGGGGGAUCCCCCACACUGGUACUGAGACACGGACCAGACUCCUACGGGAGGCAGCAGUGAGGAAUAUUGGACAAUGGAGGCAACUCUGAUCCAGCCAUGCCGCGUGCAGGAAGACGGCCCUAUGGGUUGUAAACUGCUUUUAUAUAGGAAGAAACCUUUUCACGUGUGAGAAGCUGACGGUACUAUAAGAAUAAGGACCGGCUAACUCCGUGCCAGCAGCCGCGGUAAUACGGAGGGUCCGAGCGUUAUCCGGAAUCAUUGGGUUUAAAGGGUCCGUAGGCGGGAAUCUAAGUCAGUGGUGAAAUCUUGCAGCUCAACUGUAAAAUUGCCAUUGAUACUGGAUUUCUUGAAUUAGUGUGAAGUGGUUAGAAUGUGUAGUGUAGCGGUGAAAUGCAUAGAUAUUACACAGAAUACCAAUUGCGAAGGCAGAUCACUAACACUAUAUUGACGCUGAGGGACGAAAGCGUGGGGAGCGAACAGGAUUAGAUACCCUGGUAGUCCACGCCGUAAACGAUGGAUACUAGCUG
rnacentral:rRNA from 1 species